rnacentral:rRNA from 1 species
AACGAACGCUGGCGGCAGGCUUAACACAUGCAAGUCGAACGCCCCGCAAGGGGAUUGGCAGACGGGUGCGUACCGCGUGGGAAUCUACCCAUCCCUACGGAAUAACGCAUGGAAACGUGUGCUAAUACCGUAUACGCCCUACGGGGGAAAGAUUUAUCGGGGAUGGAUGAGCCCGCGUUGGAUUAGCUAGUUGGUGGGGUAAAAGCCUACCAAGGCGACGAUCCAUAGCUGGUCUGAGAGGAUGAUCAGCCACAUUGGGACUGAGACACGGCCCAAACUCCUACGGGAGGCAGCAGUGGGGAAUAUUGGACAAUGGGCGCAAGCCUGAUCCAGCCAUGCCGCGUGAGUGAUGAAGGCCUUAGGGUUGUAAAGCUCUUUCACCGGAGAAGAUAAUGACGGUAUCCGGAGAAGAAGCCCCGGCUAACUUCGUG